AGAUUGAACGCUGGCGGCAGGCCUAACACAUGCAAGUCGAGCGGCAGCACGGGUACUUGUACCUGGUGGCGAGCGGCGGACGGGUGAGUAAUGCCUAGGAAUCUGCCUGGUAGUGGGGGAUAACGCUCGGAAACGGACGCUAAUACCGCAUACGUCCUACGGGAGAAAGCAGGGGACCUUCGGGCCUUGCGCUAUCAGAUGAGCCUAGGUCGAUUAGC
rnacentral:rRNA from 1 species